ensembl:lncRNA
GUUUGGACAUCUAAUUAACAUCUUGCAACAAUAAAAAGGUUUCACAUGUAUUAUAAAUGGGCGAUUUUACAGAGGAAAGACGUGACGGCAGCAGUCCUUCCAGCCUCUCCGCCUCGCCGGACGCAGCCGAGCGUUCACUCGCUGCCGUUUGCUCGCUCGUUACUGAACAGAAGUUCAUGUUGCCUUCAGAACUGAGAACGCCUGUCUGCUGAUAAUCACAACCCGCCUGGAUCCUUCUUCAUGUUCCCAGUGCUUCUUUUUAACAGCAGAUAGCGCCGCAGCAUGUCGUGUUAGAGCGUUUGGACUCGGAGGAGAACACCGAUGGGAACAACCGGCGCAGCCUGAAAGACAUUCUCUACUUUUUUCCACUGAUUUUCUCUUUUUACUAAGUGAGGAAGACGCCGGGUUGGUGGAUUCAUCCCCCCAUAACUCCCCAUUACCCCCCUUUGGAUGUGACACUUUGAGCCAUGCUGCUGCUGCUGCUGCUGCUCUGCCUGCAAACCUCACAGCAAGAACAGGUGGACGUGUGUCCCCUGGGACACAAUAACAACAGAUUUCCCUCAGUCGUCCGUGGGAAAGGGACUUGUACGGGAUCGUAUGAGUGAUGAAAGCUCCUCUGCCCCCUCAGACUCCUCCUGGUCGGUGUGACAUCUCAGACAGG